AUUCUAUUAAGUCAAAUAUCUGUGAGUGUGAACUCGUGAACUGAGUGUUUGAUAAGUAAUGGACACAAUAUGAUUGUUAUUGAGUGUCUAACACUAUAUAUUCAUACAGAUAUCAGAGAAAGUUCAAGACAGAAAGAGACUGAGAGAGCAUCACCACCCUGGCCAGGCUUAGAGAGAUGAUCAUGAUGAGCAGAGUUAUCUAGAAGGCAGAAAUGUAGACGUGAGCAUGACGAGGCAUAUUAUUCCAACUUGGAUGAAAGCCCUGACUCCCACACAGACCAAAGAAAACAGAACGUCUAAGACUGGUAAUGGAAAUGGUUCUUCCAGGCAGAGCGUUCAGAAAAGGCCCUGGAGUGAUGCUGAAAAAAAGUGGUUUGGCGACAGCAAGGGACCUGCAUAACACUAAUGAAAGUUCCUGGGAAAGACAAAUGUUUAAAGUGCCUACAGAAAGAACCAGUGCUUCAAUCCAGGGGCUGGAGAGAUGUCAAAAUCAUGUUUACAAUGUAAUCUAAUCAAAAAGAAGAAACUGAUUGAUAAAUUUCUGUUCUUUAAAGAAGUAAAGUAACCUUUAACUAUCCUCUCUCCCUCUUAAAUUCAUCCUGAUUUUCUGACUCUUUAUUCUGCACAACAAACAGAACUUUACGUUUUUCUUCCUUUAGUUUUGCCAUCCAGAUGUGUACUUUUAGAGCUGACUAUGUUGUUAGAUGUUGGGCUUGUGAACCUGUUUUUGACAGGUAUUCUGUGUCGAUUUUUUUAUUAAAUAAA